CAAUAGCGUAUAUUUAAGUUGUUGCAGUUAAAAAGCUCGUAGUUGGAUUUCGGUUAAGAGCGACCGGUCCGCCGUUUGGUGUGCACUGGUUGGUUUUAACUUCCUGUAGAGGACGUGCUCUGGGUUUAACGACCUGGACUCGGAGUCUACGUGGUUGCUUUGAAAAAAUUAGAGUGUUCAAAGCGGGCUUACGCUUGAAUAUUUCAGCAUGGAAUAACACUAUAGGACUCCUGUCCUAUUUCGUUGGUCUCGGGACGGGAGUAAUGAUUAAGAGGAACAGUUGGGGGCAUUCGUAUUUCAUUGUCAGAGGUGAAAUUCUUGGAUUUAUGAAAGACGAACUUCUGCGAAAGCAUUUGCCAAGGAUGUUUUCAUUA
rnacentral:rRNA from 1 species